GCGGACGGGUGAGUAACACGUGGGUAACCUACCUAUAAGACUGGAAUAACUCCGGGAAACCGGGGCUAAUGCCGGAUAACAUGUUGAACCGCAUGGUUCAACAGUGAAAGACGGUCUUGCUGUCACUUAUAGAUGGACCCGCGCCGUAUUAGCUAGUUGGUAAGGUAACGGCUUACCAAGGCGACGAUACGUAGCCGACCUGAGAGGGUGAUCGGCCACACUGGAACUGAGACACGGUCCAGACUCCUACGGGAGGCAGCAGUAGGGAAUCUUCCGCAAUGGGCGAAAGCCUGACGGAGCAACGCCGCGUGAGUGAUGAAGGUCUUCGGAUCGUAAAGCUCUGUUGUUAGGGAAGAACAUAUGUGUAAGUAACUGUGCACAUCUUGACGGUACCUAACCAGAAAGCCACGGCUAACUACGUGCCAGCAGCCGCGGUAAUACGUAGGUGGCAAGCGUUAUCCGGAAUUAUUGGGCGUAAAGCGCGCGUAGGCGGUUUUUUAAGUCUGAUGUGAAAGCCCACGGCUCAACCGUGGAGGGUCAUUGGAAACUGGAAAACUUGAGUGCAGAAGAGGAAAGUGGAAUUCCAUGUGUAGCGGUGAAAUGCGCAGAGAUAUGGAGGAACACCAGUGGCGAAGGCGGCUUUCUGGUCUGUAACUGACGCUGAGGUGCGAAAGCGUGGGGAUCAAACAGGAUUAGAUACCCUGGUAGUCCACGCCGUAAACGAUGAGUGCUAAGUGUUAGGGGGUUUCCGCCCCUUAGUGCUGCAGCUAACGCAUUAAGCACUCCGCCUGGGGAGUACGGUCGCAAGACUGAAACUCAAAGGAAUUGACGGGGACCCGCACAAGCGGUGGAGCAUGUGGUUUAAUUCGAAGCAACGCGAAGAACCUUACCAAAUCUUGACAUCUUUUGACCGCUCUAGAGAUAGAGUUUUCCUCUUCGGAGGACAAAAUGACAGGUGGUGCAUGGUUGUCGUC
rnacentral:rRNA from 1 species